rnacentral:rRNA from 1 species
GGAGGGUGCAAGCGUUGUUCGGGAAUUACUGGGGCGUAAAGCGCGCGUAGGCGGGUAAGUAAGUCGAUUGUGAAACCCCCAGGCUCAACCUGGGGACGUGCAGUCGAAACUGCUUAUCUUGAAUGCUUGAGAGGAUGGCGGAAUUCCCGGUGUAGCAGUGAAAUGCGUAGAUAUCGGGAGGAACACCUGAGGCGAAGGCGGCCAUCUGGCGAUGCAUUGACGCUGAUGUGCGAAAGCGUGGGUAGCAAACAGGAUUAGAUACCCUGGUAGUCCACGCCGUAAACGAUGAUUACUAGGUGCUCGAAGUGUUAACCCUUUGGGUACCGUAGCUCACGCAUUAAGUAAUCCGCCUGGGGAGUACGGUCGCAAAGGCUA